GACGAGAAUUUGCGCCACCACUUCCGACGAGAUUUUGCGGGACUUCCGGCAGCAUUCUACAGUCUGCUGUACUUCAACUUUGUGUUUGCACGGCUGAUUAACAAAGCAUCUCUUCAGAUCACAGUAGAGGGUUUUAUUGGUCGGUCUGCUCUCCUGCCAUGUUCCUCAACUGAAGAUGCAAGCAAGCAAGACAUUUAUGUGCACUGGAGAGACAGUAGCAGUAAAAGCGUGUUUGACUUAAUCAAGGGUGAAGCUUCAAUUGAGCAGCAGGAUCAGCAGUACAAGAACAGAACUGAAUCUUUCCCUCAAGAAUAUCUGAGAAGAAACUUUUCCAUCAAACUCAACAAACUUCGAGUCACUGAUGCUGGAAAAUACAUCUGCUACAUCUCACACUCAUCUGAACAACCAGCUGUACGGCUGAUCGUCAACGGUGUGUAAAAACUUCAUCA